rnacentral:lncRNA from 1 species
AAAAAACUCCCCUGGCCCUUCUAUCCGUUCCAAAUUUUCUUCUCUCUCUAUUACUAAGCAAUUAUAUUCCCAAGUCUUCAAGCUCUCUUGAGUUCGGUUGCAACCAUUAAGUUCAUGAAGAUGAUGAAGCCAUAAACUUGAGAUGGGAAGAAUUAAAAACAACAAGGAGACGAUAUAACUGUCUAUUGCAAGCUAUUCAAGAGGCUAUAUGGUAACAAUGAACUUUUGUUAUGUUCAUAGCGAAUUAGUUAAUCUAUGGUUGAAUUGCUAUACUUAUUGUGUAAUUGAGUGGAAUUGUUGGGAUCUGUUAAGGAGGCUUUGUGCAGGGCACUUAGAGAGAUAAAGGUGAAAAAAAAAUGGACUUAACCCUCCUUAAAUGCCUAUGAGUGAGUUCCGACUUUAAAACUAUUGCACAUGAUGUGUUUGAUGAAAUUCCUCUUAGAGGUUGCAAAGCUUUAAAACUGAAAACUUCUUGUUACUGUGAGCAAGGUAGUUUAUGUUUAUAAAAUAUGAUGCGUCCCAAGUGGCUUAACUGAAUUAGAAAUGGUUUAGAAACAAGGUUAUGUGAAUUGGACAACUAGUGGACUAUUUUGGACCAAUUUGUGUUGUGCUCUGAAACUGAAAAAUUAAGUUCCGGCCGGGAUGAUAUGUGGUACUCUUAUGAGUUAUGAACACAACUCAAUUGGAUCGGGGGAAAAAUCCUUUGUAACGAAAUCAUAACGGAUUUUCUAGUAAAACAUGUAAAACGAACUAAUUAAAAAUGUUUUUGGGGGCUGUUCUUGAGCCAAAAUUCAUGAGGGUAUAGAACUGAAAAUUUAAGUUUUGUGCUCCUACGAAUUAUGGAAAUAAUCCAAUCGGAAUGAAUCAAAAAGGUUCUAAAACAAAUUUAUAGUGAAAAUUUUAGUAAAACAUAUUAGAAACCGAAAACUAAUUUGGCUGCUGACCUUGAAAGAAAUAUUCGGGGUAAGCUAGACUUUCCAAAAAAUUCUAGGCUUUUGGGGAUGUGUAGUACACUGAAUAAGCUUUCCAUAGACUCCGAAACGGAGUGAUUCCGAUUUCGGAGCGAGGAGUUAUGACCGUUCAAAGUAGUCGCAUCGAAUCUGCCUAAAUUCUGAAAAACAGAUUCGAAGCAGUCCUUACACGAAUUUUCUGGAAUUUUGUGUUUAGAAUUUGAAAAUGGUCAAAGAAUAAAAGUUGUAGUCCCGGAAGUUAGCUUCGCGCAAGCUCAGGAGUCGCUCAAAAAAUAUUUUGAAACGAAAAAGUUACGACAGUUUUAGCGAAACAGGGUCAAGCUGGAAAACAAUUAAAAACUGUUAUGACAGAGCAUUUUUGGAGCUUUGUUUGGAUUAUUUAAAGUUUCUGAAAUGGGUGGCUUAUAUUUUCUAAAUAUAGUCUUCUAGGAUGUUUUCAAUAUAUCAAAAAUUGGUAGCAAUCCGAACUACGAGCGAAAAGUUAAAAAUGCGCAAACUAAGCAUUUCAUUAUGGGGGCAGUAACCCACCUGGGCACGCGAGGCCCAGCAAAGCGCACGCCGUGCGGCGUUGUGUUGGGUAGUUCACCCAACUGAUUUUUGGCUCGUUGUUUUGACAGUCUAGGUUGCUUGUAAUGCUUGGAUUAUAAUUUUAUAAUUAAAUGGAUAUACUACCUAAAACAUAUCCAAAAUUCAAAGCAUAUGAACGAGUGGUUUAAAAGAUAUAACAUCGUGAAACGAGUGUCAAAGCAAGGGAACUGCCCAGGCAACGCCGAGCCCGGCUAAGCCACGCAGGGCCACGUGAGGCCCAGCUGCUAGCAGCGUUGGGCUGUUUGACCAGUUGAUUCAGCGAUGCGAUUCUUGGUUGGCUUUAAUGAUUUGGCAGGUAGCAAGACAUCGAAAUGGAAGUAAAAAUGUAAUAUAACAACUUUAUGCUAUGAAAACUCAUCUUGAGCGUAAGGAAAACAAUAAACAUGUAAUGUAAACAUAAGUUUACAUGUUUACGCAAACGUAAGCCGAGAAAUAAUAUGCAAAACGGGUAUAAACCUAAAUGAAAUGCACGAACCCGUUUAAAAUUAUAUUGGACAUAGAAGUGUUAAAACGAAGGUGUCUGGUGUUCGAAACGGAGAUUUUGAACACAAAAUUACAUAAUGCUAUAUAAAGUACAAGCGAAGCGAAAAUGUAAGUUAUUCGCGGGAAUAAUGCGAAGCUAAGCUACAAAUAAAGCGAAGCAUUCGCGUACGUGGCGAUAACGUGAUUUAACACAUGAGCUAUCGAAAAGGUAUGAAAAUUAUCGAAAUUAAUGAAAUGAUGUAGUAAGCCAUGUUUGUGCAGUAAAAAACUAUUCAUAAACCAUAUGGUUCCGAAUUUAUUAUAAAAGAGAGGAAUAUUCUUAAAAUAAAAUAUAAGUGGUUUAUGUUUCGAGAUGUAAAGUAUUUAUACACUAAAGUCAUGAGAGAACCUUAUUAUGUAUAAAAAGGUUUAAACAAAUAAAGUUUCUAAAGAAAUCGAGAAUGGUUAUAAGACAAGAAUAAAAGAUUAUAGAUUAAGGUAACUAAUGAUCAUGACUUAUAUGAUUAUUUAAUAUGCACAGGUCAUGUGACAUAAUUGGUUAUCUAAUAUGCGUGUAUGUGAACACGAUUGUGUAGGAUUCGUGAGAAGAAGUUAAAGUAAACUAUAGCGGUAAUCCUCAAUUAAGGCAAGUUUUUCAGUUCUAUUAUGUUUGUGGAUUAAAUGUGAUUAUGUGGUGAGUUACAUACCAUGCUUUAUGAAUUGUUAAAGUCAAAAUAUGACUAAGUUAAUUGGGUUAUGGAACUCAAUUUAUAUGUGAUAUGUGAUAGCACGUGUUGUAUAAUGUAACUAGAUAAAUUAGAAAUGUAAUGCAUGAAUGUAUGCUUUGCAAGGAAUUAUUGAUGAAUGUAGGAUAUGCAUAGUAAAGAAUAUAUGUUGCAUGCGGAUAUGCAUAGUAAAGGAAAUGUAGUGCAUAUGGAAUUGUGUGUUAUGUGAAACAUGAUAGACUGUUAAAUUUGCUGGGCUGUCGAGCUCAAUCUUGCAAACACAAACUUUUUGCAGGUUAAUGAUGUUAAGCAAUAUUACUUGCUAUACGGAUGAUGAAGAUUGAACGAUAUGCAAAAUGAAUACAUUUCCUUGAAUUAGAAAUGGUAUAAAUUUAUGAUUGAUAGUUUUGUCAAAUGUAAUUGGCAGUUAUGUAUAGUUUAAAAUGUUGAAUGGAUAAAUAAUGUUUAUUCUGAAAUGAGAAUAAAUAUGAUUCUAGUAUAAAGAAGAAUUGUAAAGGUUGCGAUUCAGGGAAUAAAUGAAUGGA